rnacentral:rRNA from 1 species
CGCUCUUUGAAGUUUUGCUUAGUAAGUUAUCUAAGAAUACAUAUAUAUAGAGAGUCGAACCUGCCCGGUGACGAAAUUGUUAAACGGCCGCGGUACUCUGACCGUGCAAAGGUAGCAUAAUCAUUUGCCUUUUAAUUGAGGGCUAGUAUGAAUGGUUUGACGAGAGCUGAGCUGUCUCUUUCUAAAUUUUUAAAAAUUAGCUUUUAGGUGAAGAGACCUAAAUUUUAUUGAGGGACAAGAAGACCCCAUUGAGCUUUAGUAACCUAGUAAAUUUAUGUAAUAAAAAUUAAAUUUGUUACACUUUUAGUGAAAAUUUUAUUUAUUAGAAAUCUUUAGUUGGGGCGACUAAGGAACAAAAAGAGCUUCCUUUUAAUAAAAAUAUUUUAUGAUAACAAUUUUUUUAGGAUCCAGUAUUUACUGAUCAAAGGAAAAAGUUACCAUGGGGAUAACAGCGUAAUCCUUCUAAAGAGUUCUUAUCGAAGGAAGGGUUUGCGACCUCGAUGUUGGACUAAGAUAUCCUAGAGGUGUAGAAGCUUCUGAUGGUUAGUCUGUUCGACUAUUAAAAUCUU